AAGCAGUUCCCGGGGAGCCCUUCCAGCCGUGUGACGGUGGCCCGAAAAGGAGCAGGUGACAGGAAUGAAAUAUUCAACAAACCUGUUCCGCAGAAUGAAAGAAUCCAGCGUUGUGUGGACUUAUCAGCUUAAACCGUGUGGAUUUAGACCUCCGGCUGCUAAGGCGCACUCACGGCCACGGGAGAGGGGAAGAGGAAGUCCAAAGCAGUGCCGUGCACCUGGCAAGGAGAGAAGAAAAUGUUGUCUCAUGUUACUGAGCAAGUCCAUACACACCAGGAGGACCACUGUGAAUCAGGCUUGAGCCAAAUAAUACUUAACAAAGGUGGCCCAGGGAAGGGGUGGGGACCAGGAGACAGAAGCAUCCCAUGAAGCACGAGGCCCGCGGAAUCAAUUCUCACCCCUGUGACCCAGGCAUUACACCCGUGACACCAGCACAGACACAGCUGUUACUUACCGCUCUCCCUGCCUGAAGCAGCUGAAUGGCUUUCACCUAAACCACAGAGAACAUCCUUGGUGCCAGCUCCCCAGAGGAAACACCCCAGCCAGGAAGUGGAUACAGGAGAGAAGUAAGGGAGAUGAGAAUGGAGACACCAAACACAGAGGUUUGCAGGCUUAACUGGCAUAUGGAGAUGAUACGAGGAGCCUGCAUAAAUUCAAAUCCCCAGAUCUCCCGACUACUUGAAUUUGGAUUCAGUAGCUCUAGGAUGGAAGUACUGGACCCCAGAAUCUACAUUCUGGCGCCCUGAUAAUAUCAUAAAAGUGAGUCUUGCAUGUUUUCCUGUCCUGAAAGAAUCAAGUACCUGUGGCUUGAGCUCCCUGAUCUAAGUCAGUGCUUCCAAGUGAUGUGUGCUCAGAUACUGCUUCCCAGGGGUGGCCCAGGGACCCUUGACCAGCCUCAUCCAUUUCCCUUGCUGUGCUUUCCAACUGCUGUCAUUUGUUCUGAGUGUGCCGACGCGAAAGAGGUUGUGAAGCGCUGGCUAAGCCAUGCUGUUUUAGGAUCCCA